rnacentral:rRNA from 1 species
AGAACGAACGCUGGCGGCAGGCCUCAAACAUGCAAGUCUAGGGGGUGUAGCAAUACAUCACCGGCGGACGGGUGCGUAACGCGUGGGAAUAUACCUAUUGGUUCGGAACAACUGAGGGAAACUUCAGCUAAUACCGAAUGUGCCCUAACGGGGAAAGAUUUAUCGCCAAUGGAUUAGCCCGCGUUCGAUUAGCUAGUUGGUGGGGUAACGGCUCACCAAGGCUACGAUCGAUAGCUGUUCUGAGAGGAAGAUCAGCCACACUGGGACUGAGACACGGCCCAGACUCCUACGGGAGGCAGCAGUUGGGAAUCUUGGACAAUGGGGGAAACCCUGAUCCAGCCAUGCCGCGUGAGUGAUGAAGGCCUUCGGGUUGUAAAACUCUUUCGCGCACGACGAUAAUGACGGUAGUGCGAGAAGAAGCUCCGGCUAACUUCGUGCCAGCAGCCGC